UCGCCUGUUUAUCAAAAACAUGGUUUCUUGUCUAUUUAAGAAAUUUGGCCUGCCCACUGAAAUAUUUUAAGGGCCGCAGUAUUUUGACUGUGCAAAGGUAGCAUAAUCAUUAGUCUAUUAAUUAUGGACUAGAAUGAAUGGUUGGACGAAGAAAGUACUGUCUUAUUUAAAAUUAAAUUUGAAUUUUGGUUUUUAGUAAAAAAACUUAAAUUAUAUUAAGGGACGAUAAGACCCUAUAGAGUUUUAUAAGAUUUAUUUAUGUAUUGGUUUAUAAUUGUUUAUGUAAUUUUUAUUUGGUUGGGGUGUUUUAAAAAUAAGUUAAAUUUUUUAUUAUUUUGAAUUUUAUAAUAAGUUUAUUGAUCCAUUAAUAUGAAUAUGAUUAUAAGAAUAAAUUACCUUAGGGAUAACAGCAUAAUUUUUUUUGAGAGUUCUUAUUGAAAAUUAAGAUUAUGACCUCGAUGUUGGAUUAAGAUAAAUUUUAGGUGUAGAUUUUUAAAUUAUAGGUCUGUUCGACCUUUAAAAUCUUACAUGAUCUGAGUUCAAACCGGAGA
rnacentral:rRNA from 1 species